UACAGAGGUCCCAAGCGUUGUUCGGAUUCAUUGGGCGUAAAGGGUGCGUAGGUGGCGCCGUAAGUGGGGUGUGAAAUUUCGGAGCUUAACUCCGAAACUGCAUUCGAUACUGCGGUGCUUGAGGACUGGAGAGGAGACUGGAAUUCAUGGUGUAGCAGUGAAAUGCGUAGAGAUCAUGAGGAAGACCAGUGGCGAAGGCGGGUCUCUGGACAGUUCCUGACACUGAGACACGAAGGCCAGGGGAGCAAACGGG
rnacentral:rRNA from 1 species